rnacentral:rRNA from 1 species
GACGAACGCUGGCGGCGUGCUUAACACAUGCAAGUCGAACGGAAAGGCCCUGCUUUUGUGGGGUGCUCGAGUGGCGAACGGGUGAGUAACACGUGGGUAACCUGCCCUUGACUUUGGGAUAACUUCAGGAAACUGGGGCUAAUACCGGGUAGGAGCUCCUGCUGCAUGGUGGGGGUUGGAAAGUUUCGGCGGUUGGGGAUGGACUCGCGGCUUAUCAGCUUGUUGGUGGGGUAGUGGCUUACCAAGGCUUUGACGGGUAGCCGGCCUGAGAGGGUGACCGGCCACAUUGGGACUGAGAUACGGCCCAGACUCCUACGGGAGGCAGCAGUGGGGAAUAUUGCACAAUGGGCGGAAGCCUGAUGCAGCAACGCCGCGUGCGGGAUGACGGCCUUCGGGUUGUAAACCGCUUUCGCCUGUGACGAAGCGUGAGUGACGGUAAUGGGUAAAGAAGCACCGGCUAACUACGUG